rnacentral:rRNA from 1 species
GAUGAACGCUGGCGGCGUGCCUAAUACAUGCAAGUCGAGCGAACAGAUGAGGAGCUUGCUCCUCUGACGUUAGCGGCGGACGGGUGAGUAACACGUGGAUAACCUACCUAUAAGACUGGGAUAACUUCGGGAAACCGGAGCUAAUACCGGAUAAUAUAUUGAACCGCAUGGUUCAAUAGUGAAAGACGGUUUUGCUGUCACUUAUAGAUGGAUCCGCGCCGCAUUAGCUAGUUGGUAAGGUAACGGCUUACCAAGGCAACGAUGCGUAGCCGACCUGAGAGGGAGGAUCGACAGCUGGGAACAGAGAAUGGGCCCAGACACCGACGGGAGGAAGCAGUAGGGAAUCUUACGCAAGGGGGGAGAGCCUGACGGAGGAACGCGGGGGGAGGGAUGAAGGACUUCGGAUGGGAAAACGCUGUAAGUAUGGAGGAAGAAAUGUGUAAGUAACCGGGAAGAUCAUGACGGUACCGAAUGAGAAAGCCACGGCUAACUACGUG